ACUCACGCUGGCGGCGUGCUUAACACCUGCAAGUCGAACGGAAAGGCCCUGCUUUUGUGGGGUGCUCGAGUGGCGAACGGGUGAGUAACACGUGAGUAACCUGCCCUUGACUUUUGGAUAACUUCAGGAAACUGGGGCUAAUACCGGAUAGGAGCUCCUGCUGCAUGGUGGGGGUUGGAAAGUUUCGGCGGUUGGGGAUGGACUCGCGGCUUAUCAGCUUGUUGGUGGGGUAGUGGCUUACCAAGGCUUUGACGGGUAGCCGGCCUGAGAGGGUGACCGGCCACAUUGGGACUGAGAUACGGCCCAGACUCCUACGGGAGGCAGCAGUGGGGAAUAUUGCACAAUGGGCGGAAGCCUGAUGCAGCAACGCCGCGUGCGGGAUGACGGCCUUCGGGUUGUAAACCGCUUUCGCCUGUGACGAAGCGUGAGUGACGGUAAUGGGUAAAGAAGCACCGGCUAACUACGUG
rnacentral:rRNA from 1 species